rnacentral:rRNA from 1 species
AAAGGAAUUGACGGGGACCCGCACAAGCGGUGGAUGAUGUGGUUUAAUUCGAUGCAACGCGAAAAACCUUACCCACCUUUGACAUGUACGGAAGUUACCAGAGAUGGUUUGGUGCUCGAAAGAGAACCUGCACACAGGUGCUGCAUGGCUGUCGUCAGCUCGUGUCGUGAGAUGUUGGGUUAAGUCCCGCAACGAGCGCAACCCUUGCCAUUAGUUGCUACAUUCAGUUGAGCACUCUAAUGGGACUGCCGGUGACAAACCGGAGGAAGGUGGGGAUGACGUCAAGUCCUCAUGGCCCUUAUAGGUGGGGCUACACACGUCAUACAAUGGCUGGUACAAAGGGUUGCCAACCCGCGAGGGGGAGCUAAUCCCAUAAAGCCAGUCGUAGUCCGGAUCGCAGUCUGCAACUCGACUGCGUGAAGUCGGAGUCGCUAGUAAUCGUGGAUCAGAAUGUCACGGUGAAUACGUUCCCGGGUCUUGUACACACCGCCCGUCAC